rnacentral:misc_RNA from 1 species
AAGUCGUAACAAGGUCUCCGUUGGUGAACCAGCGGAGGGAUCAUUAUAGAGUUGCAAAACUCCCAUACCCAUGUGAACCUUACCUCCGUUGCCUCCGUGGAGCCGCGCGCCCCCCCCCCCUCCUUUUCCCGGGGGCGCCGGCCGCGGCAGGUGUACAAAACUCUUGUUAUUAGUGGUUAUCUGAGCGUCUUAUCGUGAAUAAGUCAAAACUUUCAACAACGGAUCUCUUGGUUCUG